rnacentral:rRNA from 1 species
UACGUAUGGAGCGAGCGUUGUCCGGAAUUAUUGGGCGUAAAGGGUACGCAGGCGGUUUAAUAAGUCGAAUGUUAAAGAUCGGGGCUCAACCCCGUAAAGCAUUGGAAACUGAUAAACUUGAGUAGUGGAGAGGAAAGUGGAAUUCCUAGUGUAGUGGUGAAAUACGUAGAUAUUAGGAGGAAUACCAGUAGCGAAGGCGACUUUCUGGACACAAACUGACGCUGAGGUACGAAAGCGUGGGGAGCAAACAGGAUUAGAUACCCC